CGCGGGGUGGAGCAGCACGGUAGCUCGUCGGGCUCAUAACCCGAAGGUCGCAGGUUCAAAUCCUGUCCCCGCAACCAAAU
rnacentral:tRNA from 4 species